AUAUGGUAAGCAACAGUCAAGUACUGUUUCGGGAUGGCUUAUCAGAAAUGAAUAAUCCGGCUUCCGUGUCCAUGCUGUCCGGACUCA
rnacentral:ncRNA from 1 species